rnacentral:rRNA from 1 species
GAUGAACGCUGGCGGCGUGCUUAACACAUGCAAGUCGAACGGUGAGGGCGGAACUUGCUCUGCUGGAUGAUUGGCGAACGGGGGAGUAACACGUGAGCAAUCUGCCCCUGACAGUGGGAGAAGCGCUGGAAACGGCGGCGAAUACAGGAUACGAGCUACUAAGGCAUCUUGAGCAGCAGUAAAGGACUGCGUUAAUGGCUGGUCUCGCGGCCUAUGAGCUUGUUGGUGAGGUAGGUGCGCCCCAAGCCUUCGACGGGUAGCCGGCCUGGGAGGGUGGACGGCCACCCUGCGCCUGCGACACGGACCAGACUCCUACGGGACGCAGCAGUGGGGAAUAUUGCACAGUGGGCCCAAGCCUGAUGCAGCAACCCCGCGUGCGGGACGACGGCCUUCGGGUUAUAAACCUCUUUUAGAGGGGAAGAAGCGAAAGUGACGGUACCUGCAGAAAAAGCGCCGGCUAACUACGUG